UGUGACCUCAAAUCAGGUAGGACUACCCGCUGAACUUAAGCAUAUCAAUAAGCGGAGGAAAAGAAACUAACAAGGAUUCCCCUAGUAACUGCGAGUGAAGCGGGAAAAGCUCAAAUUUAAAAUCUGGCGGUCUUUUGGCUGUCCGAGUUGUAAUCUAGAGAAGUGCUAUCCGCGCUGGACCGUGUACAAGUCUCCUGGAAUGGAGCAUCAUAGAGGGUGAGAAUCCCGUCUUUGACAUGGACUGCCAGGGCUUUGUGAUGUGCUCUCAAAGAGUCGAGUUGUUUGGGAAUGCAGCUCAAAAUGGGUGGUAAAUUCCAUCUAAAGCUAAAUAUUGGCGAGAGACCGAUAGCGAACAAGUACCGUGAGGGAAAGAUGAAAAGAACUUUGGAAAGAGAGUUAAACAGUACGUGAAAUUGCUGAAAGGGAAACGCUUGAAGUCAGUCACGUCGUCCAGGGAUCAACCUUGCUUUUGCUUGGUGCACUUUCUGGUUUGACGGGUCAGCAUCAAUUUUGACUAUUGGAAAAAGGCUCUAGGGAAUGUGGCAUCUUUGGAUGUGUUA
rnacentral:rRNA from 1 species